rnacentral:tRNA from 2 species
GCCACGAUCAGAAUAAAGGUUGUUCACCUGGUUCUUGCAUUAGGAGGUGCAGGUUCAAAUCCUGCUCGUAGCG